CAAGUAGAUUGCCUUAUCGCUCAUAUGCUGAACUUGUUUCAGUAUUAUUUCUUUUCGUUAACUGAAAAGUUAAAUUGAAAAGGUACUGAAACAAGUUCAGCACUUGGGAGGAAAGUCCGAACACCAUAGUGCAACAUAGUGGUUAACAACCACCAGUCGUGAGGCUAGGAAAAGUGCAACAGAAAGUAUGUACAGGUCAUGCUGUAGUGAAACCGGGUAAACUCUAUGCGGUGCAAUGUCAUGUAUACCAGUGUUUGAGGGCUGCACGCUCGAUGCUGGAGGGUAGGCAGCUAAAGCGUAUUGGUAACAAUACGCGUAGAUAAAUGAUAAGGAUCACGCUUUGGCGUGAUACAGAAUUCGGCUUAUAGAUUUACUUUAACA
rnacentral:RNase_P_RNA from 1 species